GACGUAGGGCGCGAGCGUUGUCCGGAUUUAUUGGGCGUAAAGAGCUCGUAGGCGGUUUGUCGCGUCUGCUGUGAAAACCUAAGGCUCAACCUUGGGCUUGCAGUGGGUACGGGCAGACUAGAGUGCGGUAGGGGUGACUGGAAUUCCUGGUGUAGCGGUGGAAUGCGCAGAUAUCAGGAGGAACACCGAUGGCGAAGGCAGGUCACUGGGCCGCAACUGACGCU
rnacentral:rRNA from 1 species